UACAGAGGUCCCAAGCGUUGUUCGGAUUCAUUGGGCGUAAAGGGUGCGUAGGCGGCGCGGUAAGUCGGGUGUGAAAUUUCGAGGCUUAACUUCGAAACUGCAUUCGAUACUGCGGUGCUUGAGGACUGGAGAGGAGACUGGAAUUCAUGGUGUAGCAGUGAAAUGCGUAGAGAUCAUGAGGAAGACCAGGGGCGAAGGCGGGUCUCUGGACAGUUCCUGACACUGAGGCACGAAGGCCAGGGGAGCAAACGGG
rnacentral:rRNA from 1 species